CCUACGGGAGGCAGCAGUGAGGAAUAUUGGUCAAUGGUCGGGAGACUGAACCAGCCAAGCCGCGUGAGUGAUGAAGGUACAGAGUAUCGUAAACCUCUUUUGUCAGGGCACAAAGGCGGGGACGUGUCCCCGGAUGAGUGUACCUGAAGAAAAAGCAUCGGCUAACUCCGUGCCAGCAGCCGCGGUAAUACGGAGGAUGCGAGCGUUAUCCGGAUUUAUUGGGUUUAAAGGGUGCGCAGGCGGUCUGUUAAGUAAGCGGUAAAAGCCCGGGGCUCAACCCCGGCCCGCCGUUGAAACUGGCAGUCUCGAGUUGGAGAGAGGUAUGCGGAAUGCGCGGUGUAGCGGUGAAAUGCAUAGAUAUCGCGCAGAACUCCGAUUGCGAAGGCAGCAUGCCGGCUCCACACUGACGCUGAGGCACGAAAGCGUGGGUAUCGAACAGGAUUAGAUACCCUAGUAGUC
rnacentral:rRNA from 1 species